CCUCGCAAGAGGAGCGGCAGACGGGUGAGUAACGCGUGGGAAUCUACCCAUCUCUACGGAACAACUCCGGGAAACUGGAGCUAAUACCGUAUACGUCCUUCGGGAGAAAGAUUUAUCGGAGAUGGAUGAGCCCGCGUUGGAUUAGCUAGUUGGUGGGGUAAUGGCCUACCAAGGCGACGAUCCAUAGCUGGUCUGAGAGGAUGAUCAGCCACACUGGGACUGAGACACGGCCCAGACUCCUACGGGAGGCAGCAGUGGGGAAUAUUGGACAAUGGGCGCAAGCCUGAUCCAGCCAUGCCGCGUGAGUGAUGAAGGCCCUAGGGUUGUAAAGCUCUUUCAACGGUGAAGAUAAUGACGGUAACCGUAGAAGAAGCCCCGGCUAACUUCGUGCCAGCAGCCGCGGUAAUACGAAGGGGGCUAGCGUUGUUCGGAAUUACUGGGCGUAAAGCGCACGUAGGCGGAUUGUUAAGUUAGGGGUGAAAUCCCAGGGCUCAACCCUGGAACUGCCUUUAAUACUGGCAAUCUCGAGUCCGAGAGAGGUGAGUGGAAUUCCGAGUGUAGAGGUGAAAUUCGUAGAUAUUCGGAGGAACACCAGUGGCGAAGGCGGCUCACUGGCUCGGUACUGACGCUGAGGUGCGAAAGCGUGGGGAGCAAAACAGGAUUAGAUACCCUGGUAGUCCACGCCGUAAACUAUGAGAGCUAGCCGUCGGCAAGUUUACUUGUCGGUGGCGCAGCUA
rnacentral:rRNA from 1 species